UUACAGGUGGGGCUUUUUUUCUUAAACCUUUAUCCAUCUUGAAAAUUCUUCUCCAGGAGAGGGAAGAAUGGUUAUCUUCAUUUGAUCAAUGGGAGAGGAGGCACAAGACAAGAUGUACAUGGAAGAUCUGUCUUAACAACUUUCAUUCUCAGUGGCCUGAUUGUCAGCAGCAGUAGCCUCUUUUCAGCAAGGGAGAUGGAUGCACUACACUAUGUACAUCAGCAGUAAACAAGGAAGUAUGGCAUUAUCUGUUCUUAGUGAGUGAAGGAGCAGAGACAAAAACUACUAUCAGAAGGAGCAGGAGGGAAAAGUAAUGUAAAACUUUGCUAGUGUUGAGUUCUGGGAACACAUCCAGAUACUCCAGAAGAGUAAAAUGAAUUCAGGUAACUAAUAUCACUACGGUGUGUAACUCAAAAUAAUUAAAUUACAUUGUCAUUUGUUUGUGACAAAGAGGGAAGG
rnacentral:lncRNA from 1 species